GUGGGGAAUAUUGGACAAUGGGCGAAAGCCUGAUCCAGCCAUGCCGCGUGUGUGAAGAAGGUCUUCGGAUUGUAAAGCACUUUAAGUUGGGAGGAAGGGUAGUAACCUAAUACGUUGCUACUUUGACGUUACCGACAGAAUAAGCACCGGCUAACUUCGUGCCAGCAGCCGCGGUAAUACGAAGGGUGCAAGCGUUAAUCGGAAUUACUGGGCGUAAAGCGCGCGUAGGUGGUUCAGUAAGUUGGAAGUGAAAUCCCCGGGCUCAACCUGGGAACUGGUUUCAAAACUGCUGAGCUAGAGUACGGUAGAGGGUGGUGGAAUUUCCUGUGUAGCGGUGAAAUGCGUAGAUAUAGGAAGGAACACCAGUGGCGAAGGCGACCACCUGGACUGAUACUGACACUGAGGUGCGAAAGCGUGGGGAGCAAACAGGAUUAGAUACCCGUGUAGUCC
rnacentral:rRNA from 1 species